UACGUAGGGUGCGAGCGUUAAUCGGAAUUACUGGGCGUAAAGCGUGCGCAGGCGGUUCGUUGUGUCGGCGGUGAAAGCCCCGGGCUUAACCUGGGAAUGGCCGUUGAAACUGGCGGACUGGAGUGUGGCAGAGGGGGGUGGAAUUCCGCGUGUAGCAGUGAAAUGCGUAGAGAUGCGGAGGAACACCGAUGGCGAAGGCAGCCCCCUGGGCUAACACUGACGCUCAGGCACGAAAGCGUGGGGAGCAAACAGG
rnacentral:rRNA from 1 species